GUUAACGGCCAAAGCGGGCUGGGUACACCCGUUCCCAUUCCGAACACGGAAGUUAAGCAGCCCAGCGAUCUGGAGAGUACUGCUCCAACUGGAGUGGGAAAUCCAGGACGCCGUUAACC
rnacentral:rRNA from 1 species